GGAUAAAAUAUUUCUAAACAUCUACACACCUAAUAACAGAUCAUCAAAAUAUGAGGGGGCUUCAAAACGUUAAUGGAAGUAAAAUUAAAAUAUAAAUUUAUCUUUUGUGCAAAAAGUUUUUGAAAAUUAAGGUAUACAAGGGAUCUUCAAAAAGUUCCUGAUGGGGCCAGCGCUGUGGUGCAGCGGGUUAAUACCCUGACCUAAAGCCCUGGCAUCCCAUAUGGGUGUCGGUUCUAGUCCCCGCUGCUCCACUUCCAAUCCAGCUCUCUGCUAUGGCCUGGGAAAGCAGUGGAAGAUGGCCCAAGGUGCUUGGGCCCCUGCACUUGCGUGGGAGACUUGGAGGAAGCUCCUGUCUCCUGGCUUUGGAUCAGCGCAGUUGUGGCCAGUUGGGGAGUGAGCCACAGGAUAGAAGACUUCUCUCUCUCUGCCUCUCCUCUCUCUGUGUAACUCUAACUUUCAAAAAAAUAAAUCUUAAAAAAAAAGUUCCUGAAAAUCCUUAUUACAAAACAACUAUGUGUGGAUUUCAAAAAAAAAUUUUAGAGCCAAAAUAAUUUUUUUUAAGAUUUAUUUAUUUGAGAGGUUGAGGAAGAAACAGAAAGAGGUCUUCCAUCCACUGGCUCACUCCCCAAAUGGCCGCAACGGCCAGAGCUGGGCCAAUCCAAAGCCAGGAGCCAGGCGCUGCUUCCAGGUCUCCCAGGACUUGGGCCUUCUGCUUUUUCAGGCCAUAGCAGAGAGCUGGAUCGGAAGUGGAACAUCUGGGACGUGAACUGGAGCUGGCCCUGCAGGCAGCAGCUUUACCCACUCACUAUGCUGCAGCGCUGGCCCCCCAAAAUAAACUUAUCUUUUAAUUUCACUUUUCGACAGACUUUCUGAAGUACUUAGGCAAGAUCAAGUCUGGAUUCACCCUUGCCUUGUGUGGUUAGCCAGUCAUGGACACUGGGGAGGUAGGCGGAAGUAGGUGUUUUAUUUGCAAAGUGUAAAGCAAGGAGUUGGAGAGCUAAGGCUGAAUACCCAAGACUCCCGGAGGGAUUAAGGGAAAGUAGUCUUAAGGAUGGAAGCUGGAGUUGAGAUGCGUGAUCCGAUUGCAUGCAGGCCUCUGUUGGUCCGCAGUGCUGGUGGCCUUCCUUUGACUGGUCAGUGACGGGGGGGUCAGUGUAAUCCUGGGGGUGCCGCGAUGGCAGGGUGGACUCUGGCUUGUCUGGGGUCUCGCCAUAGGCAGUUAUUAUGUUGUUUGCUCAGGGCCUUAGGUUCCUUAAAACACCUAAUGCAAGAUAUUAUCUAUGGAAUCAGUAAAUGAACUCUGAGUCUUGUAAUCUGGAGCCCCAUGGGGCUGGCUUGACCCCUGAACCACUCCCUUAACUUAAUGAGUUUAUCUUUAGUAACAGGUCCAGCUCCCAGAUGACCUUGAAAGUCACUUAACCUCUGUGAACUUCAGUUUCCUCGUUAGUGGAUCAGGCAUGACAGCAACAGUUAGCCCCCAAGGAUGUGGUGAGGAGACCCUGUAAACAUCUCAGUCAAGUGAGAGAAUAUACCAUGAUCAGGGAGAGGAGACCUUGCUGGUGUAAAAAUGUCAGUUCUUCCCAAAUCUGUCAACUGCAGGUGAAAACAAUUUUCAAAAAUCAAGAUUUUUUUUUCCAACCUACUGAAAUAACAUAUCUUUAGUUGACAUUAUGGUCAAAGGCUUAAUGUCCCUACUAAAUAAAGAGUUCAACAAAUCAAAAGCAAAAAAGACCAUGGUGCAGCAGGGAAAGAGGCAAGGGCUAAAAACAUGUUUAAUAACACAGCCUCUUCAUCUCAUCCCCACAAACCACCAGCUGGGCUUCCGGUCCCCGCCCAACCCUAUGACCCCUGCCCCACAGCUCCCAGGAAGUCUUGCUCCGGACCCUUCUCAGGACCCCAGAGGCUCACAGAGCAGCUCUCUGCGCUCACAGCAGGAAAGGCUCGAAGGCUAGGGGGUGUGAGUGGGGAUCUCAGCUUCCCCAAGAACCCUGUGGACAACUCACAAAGUGACUGUCAUGAAGAUAAAAGAAGACAAAACAAGGGAUGCAGAGGGGCCAGUGGCAUUGUGGGUAAAGCCACCACCUGCAAUGCCAGCUUCCCAUAUGGUUACCAGUUCAAGUUCUGGCUGCUCCACUUUCAAUCCAGCUCCUUGCAAAUGCACUUGGGAAAGCAGAAGAAGAUGGCCCAAGUGCUUGGGCCCCUGCAGCCACGUGUGAGAACUGGAUGAAGCUCUUAGUUCCUGGCUUUGGCUUGGCCCAGUCCUGGCUGUUGCAGCAAUUUGGGGAGUGAACCAGCAGAUGGAAGACCUCUAUUUCUUUAAUUCUGCCUUUCAAAUAAAGAAAUCUUAACAAACAAACAAAAAACGGGGCCGGCGCUGUAGCACAACACAUUAAAGCCCUGGCCUACAGUGCGAACAUCCCAUAAAGGUGCCAGUUCAAGUAAGCUGCUCCUCUUCUGAUCCAGCUCCCUGCUAUGGGAAAGCAGUAGUAGAUGACCCAAGUCCUUGGGCCCCUGCACCCAUGUGGGAGACCUGGAAGAAGAUCCUGGCUCCUGGCUUCGGAUUGGCUCAGCCCUGGCCGUUGUGGCCAUUUGGGGAGUGAACCAGCUGAUGCAAGACCUCCCCCCCACCCCCGUCUCUCUGUCUUUAAAAUAAGAAAAAUAAAUAUUAAAAAAAAAAAACAAGUAUGCAGAAACUCCUUGUCUCAUCUGUGCCAUGUGCUCAUCAACACAGACUUCCCUUCUGCUGUUCCUUUCACUUCCGCUGGACUGCCUGAGCUCCAGCGUAACUGGAAUUACUGAAGAAUCUUCCAUGACUUAUCUUAGAGCAAGUAUGAAAGGGGAUCCACCGUUAAAAACGACAGUUCCCACCUGACCAGAGUGUGGAAAGAUCAUCUGUUGUAACCAACUCUUCCCACCCCUCCCAGUUCAUGGAAGAAGUUUCAAGCUGUGCAAGAAUCCGGAACUAUUAGCAGAUGUCUCCAUGCCUGUUCACUUAGACAUGAAGGUCCCCGACACUGCUGUAAUGUCGGCCUCUAGGCAGAGGCUUGGCCCGUGGGACAUAUUCAGUACAAAAGGCCUGGUCAUGGUAAUGGAGGGCUUGGAUGAUGAACAUGAGUCUGAUUAUUUGGAAAAACAGAGGCAAGAAGAGGCCUCCAGUCCCUUCACAACUUCCUAAAGAGAAAAAAGGAAGAAGAAAGUCUACUCCUCACGAAAUGACCCACCUGCCCACUGUUGAGAGAUUGUUGAAAACACUCUGGAGAUUUCCACGUUCCCAAGUACAGGGAAUAGUUGAGUAGAGGACAUUGCUGUCAGUGAGCGAACAGUUUUGUAGUCACUACAAAUGAAAUGUACUGGGAGCUUCAAAGGAAAUAGAGAAGUACACAUGAUGAUAUAUUACUACCUCAGAAUGUAAAAAGCCUUCGAACAGUAUCAAGGAAAUUUGCCAUAACAUGGUGACCAAAAUGUUACAUUGAUUGCUCCUGGUGAUAGAUUGCUCCUGGACUGAUAGGGUUUUUUGUUCCAUACUUUUCUGUAAUUACUCAGUUUUCUAAAAACCACAUGUUGAACUUCUGUAGUCAGAAAAGAUUUUGGUAGGUUACAAAACAAAAAGUAUUGUUAUUAUUACCUGAUUUGCAGAAAGAGAGGGACAGACAGGCAGAGAUCACUUCCACUGGUUCCCUCCACACAUGGCCAAGACAGAUGGGUUGGGCCAGGCCAAAGUCGGGAACUGGUAACUCACUGUGGGUCACCCACUUGGGUGGAAGGUACCCAGAUGUUGAGCCACCACCAGCUGUCUCCCAGGGUGCACAUGAACAAAAAGCUGGAAUCAGGAGCAGAACUGGAACGUGAACACAGGUACUUUGACAUGGGAUGCAGGCAUCCCAGGUAGCAUAUUAAACACUAUGCCAAGUGCUCAUCCCACAAACAAAUAAAAGGAAUCCACCCUGCAAAGUGAGCCUCACAGCACAGCAGUCGCAGCAGUGGCUGAUGCCCAGGAAGGAACCAGUGCUCACGCACUGCACCUGCAGCCACAUCCCCGGCCUUCCCUGCCCCGGCCUUGCUCGCAGCUCACUCCAAAAGCUCACCUCCACUCCCUUUGCAGAGGCUUGGGCUAUUCGCCUGCUUCGUCUUGGUUUUCUAGUUCAUCCUCCUGGUUCACUCUUCUUGGAUGGUGUUGGCUUUCUGCCCAAUGAGAGCAAUUUCUAUGACUUAAAUCCAAAGUUCUCACUUCCUCUACCAGGCAGGAGAAAAAAGGGUUGUCAACUCAGUGGAUCAAAAACACUUACUGAAUACCUACUAUGUGACAGUCUCUUUCCCAUGAUGGGGCUACAGCAAUGGGUGAGAUAGAUGAGGUCCCUGCUGUCCUGGAAUUGCUGCCUUGGAAGCAGCUACCAUAAGCAGGAACCUGCAGAGAGUAACCACACACAAUUCUGGAAGAGGUUCUCAGCCUCCCUCUGGCAAUGGCUUCUUUAAAUAAGACCAUUAUAUACUUGACCUGUGAUGUCCAAGUGAAGCAUUGCAUUUUACUUUAAGGAAGGCUUUGCCUUUUCCACCCGCCCCGCCCCUCCCCCCCACCAAGCCUGACCUCAGUUUAUGGAUGAGGAAUCUGACACUCAAAUACGUGGGUCAGAGAGAGUGACCAAUGAGGUCUCACGGGUUGGUCUUAGGGGUAGAAUCUUGGGGGAGGAGAAGCUCCAUGACUGUUGGGCUGCUGAGACAGUUGGUGCCCACGGCGCCAUCUUGAAGGGAGUAGGCACAGCCAGGAGGUCGGGGCAGGCGACUCCUGGGGACAUCGUCCAGCACCCAGGGUUCUGAGUAUUCCUGGUGGCUGGCUAAAUUGUGUCCCUUGGAGCUGGAACAGGAGGAUUUAGGCUAGCACCAGACCCAACUUCCUGAGCACCCCACAAAACUCCAAAAUGAACACCCACAGGGCAUUCACUGGAGACCCAGUGGAUUCAGACAACAUUUGCCGAGAGCCCGAUGCAGGCUGGACUGCUCGCGUUAACCAUGUGAAACCUCAGAGGAUUAACACGUUAGGCCAACAGCCCGCAUCUCCCCUAUGGAGGACAAAAACCGAGCCUCAGAGAAGGGAGAAGACCAGGCCGGAGCUAGCACACAUGGAGCUGGACUGCAAACCCAGGCUCUGGCCGCUUGCGGGCUGGGAAACUCAGAAAAUCACCUGCUUUGAAGGGAGACAGAGCGUGGUGCCAAUCUCGUUCAUGAAUUCUUUCUAUUCUGAGCAGUGCCCUGGCCUGGCUUGGCAAUGACAGAAUCAUGCUCAUGGGCAGUCCCCUAUUCACGGGGUGGGGGGGCAUAGGCUUCUCCCCACCCCCAGCAGACCUGGGGCCAGGUCCUCACUGUGGGGUUUCUGAGACCCUGCUCCCUACAGGCAUGCCAGAGAUCUUUCCAGAAUGCGCAGAGAGCACAGUGUGGAACAGGAUGUGUCCGUCUUCCCUUCCUCACUUGCCUUGGCUCCCAGCUCGUGGGCUCUCUCCUCUGCAUCCUGGCUCCGUGGCUGCUAUAGGAAGAACCAAGCUGGAGGAAGUCGGCGGCUCCAUUCCCAAAGGCACAGAGGCCACGGGCCCAGGAGGAUGGAGACCCCGGCCUGCUCCACUCGCUGCUGGGCCCUGGUGUUUGGAUCUGGCUGGCAGCAGCAGGGCCUCCGUGAGCAAGGGCGGCAGACCACAAAGACCACAUCUCAGGUGGAGGUAAGAGCUGUUCACUCACUGUGGACGGAGCCCCUGCUGUGUGCCGCGCCCUGCCCUGGGCUGCCGGCACAACGCAGGGUGAGGCCUGAGAACCAGGAGAGCAACCCUGUUGUUCUGUGGAGCUGACGCUCGAGGGGACGCACAGUGGACAGGACAGCGCGACAGAAGAGCCCAAGGCUGCAGAGACAGAGUCGGGCUCAGGGGACGGGAGUGCGGGGCUGGGGCUGCUGGGGGCAGAGAGGGGCAAGGGUGGGAGCAGAGACACGCCAGGACACACGGGCUCUGCAGCCGCCGUGAGCGGAGACAUGCCAGGACACACGGGCCCUGUGGCCGCCCUGAGGACUUUUGCUCUGGGUGAGGUCGGAGCCACGGCAGGUGCGCUGAGCGGAGCAGGGGCAGGGGCAGGGGCAGGGGCAGGGGAUGGAGUGGGUAAGCAGGAGGGAGAGGUGGGGUGCGGGAAGCUGUCCCUGUAGUGGCACAGGCAGGGAGGGCGUCCCUGAGGAGGUGGCAUUUGAGCUGAGCCCUUGGUUUGGCCACGUUGCUUGCUGCUGCCCAGGAAGCUUUAGCAUCUGCCCUUGUGCACAUGGAGGGCGCGCCUUGUCCCGGACAGGCCCACCGCAGGUCUGAGCCACCUUGUGGCCUCCUGCUCCCUUGUCACCAUCAUAUCCCCACCAGCAGGAGGAAUCAAAUGCAAUCCACAGAGCCCCAACCGCCUCCUGGAUCAGGGUCUGUGGGGGGGGAUCCUGAUCUCCGCAGGGCAGGACCGGACAGCAGGGGGCGCCCUGCCCAGGGCCCUGACGUUAUAGGACGCGGCCCCUCCUGUGCCUGCUCGCUCCGCCUCACCAGUCCUUCCUGGAGAAGCACCACGAAGCUCCUGACCCCAGGCCCCUGUCCCUCUGCCCGCCGCCCCGCCCUGAGUGGCCCUGCGCGGGGUGUGGGCCCCUCUUCUCGGGAACCGUGAGUCCCCAGCUCUCUUUUCUCAGCAGUCUUCUCUUGAUCUGUUGGCUUCCGUGAAUUCUCUAUGAAGACACAAAGCCUGACACCGGCUCUGAGGGGCAAGGCGGUGUGGAGGCUCCCACCGGUGAGAGAUGGGGGCGGGGGGAGAGGACCUGUGCACCUGUGUUCCAGCGCCCCGACAAGAUGAACGUUUACGACACGUGCUAGAGCUCCCGCUCCCUGCACGCGCCCUGCAGGCUGCGCAGGAUGGGAGCAUCAACGAAGCAGGUGGGCAGCCCGCCCCCCGCCCCGGCCCUGGAGUCCUCGCUAUCAGUCUCUUCGUCGUGGGGUGCUUGGGUCCGGGCUCCUGUCUCGAAUGCAAGAAGGAUUGCAAGGAUGGGACACGGGUAAAGGUCAGCGGAGGAGGGAGAUUUGUUUACACGCCAGGUGGAGCAGCGCCGGCCGGCUCAGAGGAGAGAGCUGCGGGCGGCAGCAGGGGCGGGGCUGUCUCUGCUCUGGAGGUGUGCGUGCGGGGCGUGGCUGGAGAGGGCUCCGUAGCAGGUGCUGCCGACCCUGUAGAGGCCGGGGUGUUGGAGCCACUCGUGCGGAACCUCCCCAGCCGCAGCCCUCUGCUCUCCCAGUCCAUCUCCUCGGGUGGAAUGGUUGCCAUUUUGGUGUCCCCUGCAGUGAACUACAGCCACCUCCAGAGAUGCCAAGACAGGGAGAGGGCCGGGGUCUCUUGGCCAUGUUUAACGGGGGAGUUUUUCACAGUCGUCGGGCCUCUUUGUCUCCAAAUCACUGUAUGUGCAGGUAGCACCAGGGAUGUGUAGUCCGCAUUGGUGUGGACAUUGGGUCUCUGGCCUUUUGCCGGUUUGAAGGCUGCAGGCAAGGUGGUAAGUUUGGCCUUUUGAGCCGAGAUGUUGAGCGAUAGUGCCUAGGCUUCCGUAACUUGAGUAAGGUCUUCUAUGGCAUACCCUGCCUUUCUAACCCCUUCCUUCGUGCAACUCCUGCAUCGGUGAGCCAUUCAACAUCCGGGCUUUGCAGAGGUGCAUCUGGUAGGUCCGGUCUAGGGGCGGAGUCUUGCUGUAUGGUCUCUAUGCAAGAGUGAGCUCGUCUCUCAGAGUCUUCGGAAUCCAGGGGAGCAGCUGGGUCGAGGCCUUGGCGUCCUUCGAGAGUGAACCCUGGUGAGCCAAAAUGGAGAGCCCGGUGUCAGUGAGGGCCCCCACCCCCGUCAGCCACGGGCGCCUGUGGUCUCUGGAACCCCUCCUCCUUGGCAUGCAGUGUGAGCUUCAGGAGGCCCAGAGUCCGUGGUUUUCUCCACCGAAAGUGCGGUAGCAGCAACCGAGCAUCCAGGCCAUCCUGAGUCUUGUUGAUUAGCAAGGUAGCCCAGGGGCCACAGAAUGGGCCCGGUUUUGGGGUGAGUACCCCCAGGUUGUUCCUUUCAGCUACCAGUGGGGAGAAUGACUUGUCUCAGGUAUCCCCAGUGCAGGGGCCGUUGUCAGCUGACCCUAAGCCUGUUGAAAGGCCCCGUGUUAGUUCCCUGUCUAUUCCAGUGGGUCAGUUUCAGCAGCCUUUAAGACCUCUCUCAGGGGUUUGGUUAUCAGCCUGAAUCCUGGCAUCCAGCUCCCGCAGCAGCCGGCUGUUCACAGGACUGUUCUCGGCUGUCGCUUUGUAGGUGGUAGCCCAAUACACAGUGUGGCUUCCCAUGGGGAGAUCCGGGUUUUGGUUGGGAAAACUUGAUAUCGCCAUUCCCCUAAAAGCGUUAAGAUCUGAAUGGUAUUUUCAACUGAGUCCUCCUUGGAGUGACUGUAGGUGAGGCCAUUGUCUAUCUAUUGUUAGUCCUUCCUGCUGGGUGCUGUGUUGGUACUCACUAGUAUGCUAAUAACAGAUUUCAGUGUAAGGAUGGCUGCCCUGAGAAAGCGCCCCUAGAGGGUCGCAGACCUGCCAGCGCCCGCAGAGGCUGGUGGGAGACAACGGCAUCUUCCGUCUGGCAAGGCAGAGGCCAGGUGACCUGCUGGGAGAGGGGCUUGCCAUCAGCCCCCGUGAUGACACGACUCUGAGGACAGGGGCCCCAGCAGAGGAACUGGCACCUGCGUCAAUUAGAAAAUCGAUUUUCUUACCUGCCACUUCCGGGAGCGGGGUGCUCCCGAGGGCUGCGGGAGCUGCCUGAGUUCCCAGGCCCCAUCAGUCCUUGCAUUAGGACACGAGGCAACCGGGACUCCUCCUGUCCCCCAGGAACUGCGCGUGAGCAGGUUUCCAGCGCCCUGUUGUUUCCAGUGGGGCCAGGGGCCAGGUGGGCUUCUCGGGUGGGGACAGUCCUUGCACCAGUGUCCCGGCCUCCCACACCCAGAACAUUCUCCCUUGGGCUUCUCUGCCCGGUUCCAGUGGCUGCUGCCGUAUGGACAUUGGAGCCCUCUGCACUGCAGCUUUGCCUCUAGUCCUGGUCACCCACAUGCUGCAUCUAGCAGCUGUUCCUGGGGGUUUGGGACCCCACAGCCCAUCUCUGGAGUUCCCUCCAGAUAUCCCUGGCUGGCUGAGGCACCCAGUAGGACAUGUGUUAGGGGCUGUGUGAGUGUAUCUGUUGAAUCUCUUUAAGGCCUCUCCCAGCCAUCCCUGGCUGAAGGUGGAUUCUCGUCCCUAUGCUAUGUUACCUCCCUGACUGUCACCCAGGGAACUCAGCAGCACAGCACAGCCGAGCGCCCCCUAGGGGCCGUGGCCUUGCCACCUCUCAGACUCCCGACACACGAGCUAGUCCACAGGACCACUUUAUCCUGUUGUGCUGUGGGCCUCAGGGCAGGAUGAGCAUGUGUUAGCAGGAGCAAAUGUCCCACGGGCCCUUCUGAAGACAGUACCCAGGUCACGAGAGUGUUGGGAGGUGGCACACAGAGCCUGCAUCUCUGCCCUGCGUAUGGCUCUGAGCCGUAUCCCUUGGGGACCACUGUGACUCCUCUGUUGCUAUUGGCGGUUCCCGUGAUAAUUCUCUGAAGCCACUUUUCCAUUUAUGUUUUUGAAUGAAUUCCAAGUACUCAUUGAGACCUGCUCAGACUGGAGUGAGACAGCACCUGUCUCUGCCCGGAGGAUGAAAAACCUCCGUGAUCCGUCUUUGUGGAUCCAUUUGACUGUAAGAUUCGGAAGAAAGGGCCAUUCACUAAGAGCCAUAGCCCCUCCCCCAGAGACCCAGAAGAGGAGAUAGAGAGGAGUGGGGGAGGCGUGGGCAGCCCAGGAAACACUGUCCCCUCCUGGCGGCUUCCCCAGCUGGAGGCGGAGAGGCCCUGUCCUCCUCUCAGCUUGCCCAGUGCCCUCAAAGGCCAGGGUGGAGCUGGUGCCUGUUCACCUGAACGCCUUGUAGAUGAGACCCGGCUGUUACACCUGCUCUGUGGUCUGCUGCAUAAAGGCCUCUGGCUUCUGGGGCACACAGCGCGUGGACUUCGUACCUGGCUCCCACCUGCAGCUGUUGGCGUCCACACCCAGCUGAGCCCCCAUACUGUGACGUCAGGGCCCGUGGCACUCGGGGUCUCUUGUUCUCCACUGGGAAUGUGCGGGGCAGUGGGUAUGGACUGUCUUAGCUGCUUUGAACUUUGCCUUAUUAGACACUAGAGUCUGCCUCCUGGGCGGGGGGUGGGGGUGAGGGGGGUGGGUGGAUCUCAGAGCCUCUUCCCGCUGAGCACCUGAUACAUCGUAGACUGGACACACCCCUCGUCCACCCUCUCUCUGACAACCACCUUUCUUCUCUUUUUCUACGAGGUCGAUGCUGUUAGAUUCCCCAUAGACAUGAGAUCAGGGAGCACUUGUCCCUCUGUGUUGACGGAUGCACCUAUGUACGACCCAUUCCACAGUGUGUACACGUACCCAGACAUCUCCCUGGACCCCAUACAUGCACGCAGUUACGAUUUUUAUUCAUGAGGAAUAUUUGCAAAUGUGCAAAGAUAAUAAGCUUGAGGGGGGCGGCAGUAUACAGUUAAGAUUUUUAUUCACGAGCAGCGUUUGCAAAUGUGAAAAGCUCAGGGAGCGUGGCAUGACCACCCUUGCCCUUUGGGAUUGCCCUCAGUUGUCCACUGACUCCACAUGAGCCACUUUCCCCCAGAAUCCAUGGCCUGGCUGUUCGGAUGGCAGGCAGCAAAGCCCUUCAGGGACGGAGAAAGUCCCCCUAGGGACCUAGCCCCAGCCAUGGUUCUUGCUGUAUCCCAUGGGGACCCUGUUCCAGCCGUGGCUCUUGCUGUAUGCCCCUGGGAACUCCUUCUAGCCAUGGUUCCUGCUGUAUCCCUCUGGGGACUCUGUUCUAGCCACGACUCUUGCUGUAUUCCCCCUGGGGACCCUGUUGCAGCCAUGGCUCUUGCUGUAUCCCCCUGGGAGCCCCUUCUAGCCAUGAUUCUUGCUGUUUCCCAUAGGGGCCCUCUUCUGGCCAAGGUUCUUGCUGUGUCCCAUAGGGACCCCCUCUGACCAUGGUUCUUGCUGUGUCCCAUAGGGACCCCUCUGGCCAUGGUUCCUUUAUAUCCCAUAGGGACCCUCUCCUGGCCAUGGUUCUUGCUGUAUCCCAUUAGGGACCCCCCUGCCACCCCAGCCCUUGCUGUAUUCUAGAGACCCCUUGUCGGCCCUGGCCCUUGCUGGAAGGAGUGGCCGAAGUCACAGGCAUCUGGCUGCCCGGCCUGGGUGUAAUUGUGCGCAUGUGCUCUACGGGAGCCAUUGCUUUCCUCUGUGUCGUGAGCACUGCUCCUGGUGCGGAGGACUGAGGGGGUGCUACAGGGCCUGGCUGGGGCUGACCUGGGAGUAGGGGUCCGUGUCUGCAGGCUGAGCAGGUGGCUGUCAGGCACGGGGCGCCUCUGCCUGUGCACUGCCCUGACUCUUCUCCUCCCCAGGCAGCAGGGCCUGGGAGGGAAACGGGCAGGUGGGAAGACGUAGCGCCACUUGCACUUUGCAACUCAGGGGCACGGAGGAGCUCCGUGGAGCUUUGGGGCUGCCAGGGAUGGGACUUGCCUGAAGCCUGGGCUUCGCCCUGAUGCUGGGGCCCUUCUGUCGGGAUAUCUCACGACACAGCACGAGGUGUGUGGCCGUGGCACUGUCGUAUUUAUGCUCUGACAAGGACUCUUGUAUCUGCUCUGGGCUUAUAGCCCAGGCUGACUCGGACUUGCAUGAUUUGAGGGUCCUGGUGACAAGCCAGCGGCUCAGCACGGGGUCUUGGAGUUUCUUCCAGGACCACGCUGAGCUAUCAGCGGCCCACAGUGCGGUCUAGUUUGGGCCUCUUUCCGGGGUUGAAUGUCAGUAAAGUCUUCCAAAGCUUUUCCAGCCCUAGGCUGGCAGCACAGGGAAGCUGGUAUUUUCCUGUGAGUGUGCACUCCAGCUGCUGCACAGGGCCUCUCCAUCAAGUGGCAAGAUCCCCGUAAACACGGCAGCCAGAGUCACCCCCAUACCCCACAAGUCUGCAUUAAAGGGGUUGUAUUGUUGGCCCUAGAGCAUUUCUGGAGCGCAAUACUGGGAGUUCCACAAGAUGUGCUGAGAUCUUGCCCGUCGGAGCCCCUGCAUCCCAGGCUGAAGUCAGUUUAACACUGAGGGCGGCAUCCAGGAGGACACUGCCCGGUUCCACUUCCCUGUGCGCAUUACCCCUGUCCAUGGCAACAGUGCGUGGCCGGCACAGUCCUCCGGGACCAACUGAGGCCUGCGCUGCCAGGCGCUUGCUCGGCCACCCAGAGGACUGGCCGCUGUCUGCUGCCGAGUCCCGUGACCACAGUCUGUCCGCCCUCCCGAUUGUCUUGGAGAGCCGUGUCAUGUCGGGGUGAUUGACGUACUGCACUCAGUCCUCUUCCAGGAAAGCGCUGAGGGCUGCAGGGUCCCUGUCCUGUUUCUGGGUGACCUUCACGGCCACCCGGGCCUGGUUAACAGAUGGCAGGCUAGCUUCACUUGGCCAGAGCUGCCCAGGCCAGUGGUCCUCGGGAGCCUGGGAUGACCAGCGAGGACUUCCUCAUAGGAGUAAACGACCACAUGCCCCUCUGUUGGGUGACCUCCUCGCUGCGCUAUCUUCACAUACUAACUAGUAAUGCUAACUAGUUGCAUGCUAGCUGUACUAACUAUACUAACUAGUGAGACAAACACCAACUAUAUUAGCUAGUUAAUGCUAAUAAGUAACUUCAAUACUAUAUGAACUACUCACACAGUAGUAAUGGAUGAGAUUAAUGAUGCUAUCUAAAUUUUAAAAAAUUAAAAAUGAGAAAAUAAUGCAAAGGAAAAAAUGGGGAAAGAAAAAAAUGAAGAAGAAAAUGAGAAAAAAGCAAAAAUAGGAAAAAAAUGAGGAAGACGCAAAAAAUUUUAAAAUGAGAAAAGACAGGGCAGGCAUGUGGCACCGUGGGCUGAGUCACCACCAGGGACGGCUGUGUCUUAUAUAGCAGUGCCUGGUUUAAGUCCUGGCUACUCUGUGCUUCCAAUUCCGCUUCCUGAUACUGCAUUCUGGGAGGCAGAAGGUGAUGGCCCAAGUACCAGGGUCCCUGUCACUCAUGUGGGAAUCCUGAUUGAAGUUCUGGGCUCCUGGUGCAGCCCUAGCUGCUUUGAGUAUUUGGGGAGUGAAACAGCAGAUGAAAGCGCCCUCUCUCUCUCUCUCUAACUCAAAUAAAUCUAUUUUAAAAAGAGAGAGAGAAAAAGAAAAAAAAACAAUGAAAAACAGAAAUGAAGAAGUGGCAGACAGGAAAAACAAAUGAAAAAGUGAAGAAAGGAGGAAAAAUGAAAACUAUAAAGACAAAAUGAGAGAAACAAAUAAUAAGGACACUGAGGGAAAAAAAAACACAAAAGGAUGAGAAAGAAAGAAAAAUGAUCAAACCAAACAUGAGAAAGUCAAAGGUCAACUUCAAAUGAGAAAAGGAGGGGCCAGCACUGUGGCCCAGUGGGUUGAGCUGGGGCUUUCAUCCCUGGCAUCACAUACCAGAAUGCCAGUCCCAGUCCUAACUCUUGGCUUCUGCUCCAGCUUCCUGCUAAUAUUCCUGGGAAGGCAGUGGGUGAUGACCCAAAGUGCUUAGUCCCCUGCCGCCCAUGUGGAAGACCCAGAGGGAGUUCCUGGCUUUGGCCUGGCCCAGUUCUGUCUGUUGUGGCCAUUUGGGGAGCGAACCAAUCCCCAGUGAAGAAGGGGUCUCUUUACCAUUAGAUUAAUUUUUCAAAACAGCUUUAAGGGAGUAGGUUAGCUGUUUACUGUGUUGCCAAAUGAGUAUCUUAAGUCCGUGGUAAAAGCUGUGUGUUUUAGACAAUUUGAACCUAAAUCUCCAGAUUGUAAAAUCUACUCCGAUAUAGAUGAUAGUGUAGUCGUAGGAAACAAUUCUGAUGACCUACCCAAGGCAAAGAGGGAAUGUUGUCAAUAUUUGAGGUAAUAUGGCUGGACAAUAAAUGAUGGCGUGGUUCAUGGUCCCACUGACCUGGUAAAAUUCUAGGAGUCCUGUGGACAGGUGGAGGGAGAGUGACCCCUGGUACUGCUCCAGAACAAUGUAGAACUCAGCCACUGAGUGCUAACGACCAGCCCUGAAGUCUCACAGUGUUCGUUCUCUGGGGUCGGAGGGCAGCGCAGACCACAUUUAGGGGAGAACUCUCCCAUCCCUGUGUGACAGGAAGGUCUCAGGAUUUCAAGUGGAAGGUAGAACAGCAGCAGCUCCCCAGUGUUUGAAAGCAAACAUACUGGCAGUCCAGAGGUUGUAUUUUUAAAGGAAGAUAUGAACUCUAGACCGGGUGUUGUUUAUGGGCAGGGAUAUGGCUUGUGGUCUCUUUGGGGGUGAGGACUCUUUUACACUAAAUGCAUUCCCAUGAGCGUCUGGACUAAGAACUCUCCUUCCUCACAUCAUGUUCUCAAUAUGCUGAAAACUGAAUUGAACUGCUUAUCAGGCCUUGAUGCCUACCGAGCCUUUGGCUAAUUUGUCUAACUCUCCCAUGGCACUAAGGACGAGAACAGCUGCCCCACAGGGGUUAACCCGUCCCUGGACAAACAAAAGGGCACGAAAGCCGCACAGCGAAAUCUCACCUGGAAAGGGCAGACUCAGCAGAGACCGAGGCAGGGGGUCAGCCAGGACAAGGGCCUUGGGGAAGUACCCCGAGAGUUCUCGUUGGCUUGCCGGAAAUUCUGAGGGUUGGACACAUCCGUGGUCGUGCUGUUGGCCAAUGGGGUCCCACCUGGUCACGUGAACUAACACAUGCCUGGUUUACGGACGGAUCGCCCCCGUGACCUCUGGCCUGCUCUCUCGGACAGCAGCUGCUCUGUGUGCUCUGAAUGGUUGCACCUUGGUGCAAAGAGAUGCGUCCCAAAGUGCCUAACUCGUCGAUUCAUAGUCUCCUCUGUGGGCUGUGAGGCGCUCUUUGCAAGAAGGCCAACAUCCAAGUCGUGUUUUUACUGACUUUGGUCACUUGCCACAGCAUAGCCUUGUCGUGCAAUAAAUGGCCACAAAAUAAUUGGAAGAUUAAUGGAAAGGAGUUAGGGUUCAGACGCUUAUGGGAAUGGUGUUUGAUGCCUCCACGCACAGAGGCGUUUGCACUGCCCAUGUCCCAGCUCACCAGGGAAAUAAUGGUGUGCUCGCUUUUGAUGGUGCAGCAGCUGCCCUUCGCAGGAGAGUGACACAGACACAAGAAGCAAUGAUGUCCUGUAAGUAGCUCUCAGAAGGGACCUUUUAUCUGUGACCUACUCAGGACAGGGAUACACUUCAUGUGUUUGAUUGGCUUCCACAGAGGGACAGACCGAUCACUGUGCAGGAAACUAAGUGGACAAACAGUCCUUGUGAAACCUGCCUGAAGGUUAAACUCCCAGAGAAACAUAAAGAGUUAACCGAGAAAGAUGGCUCUCGGGGCCUGAGUCGGAUCUUCCAGGUGGAUUCUGUAGGCCCUCGCAUGUGUGAUAGUGACGCUGAGUGUUGCUGCUCUGUACCCGCUGCCGUUCAGGUCUGGGCGUCCCAUUUCCAAGCGAGCAGGCUUAGGGAUCUAACGCUGUCAGUUCCGUGAAGUCCUGUCCGGCUUCUGCUGGCACCCCUACCCUGCUGAAUCUGAUCAGAGCGCACACUUUGUGGUUAAAGAAGUCCCACAGGGGGCCGGAUCACAGCAUGUACCACCUUAUACUCCGGCUGCCCCAGGAGCCAUUGAAAUUCUUAGUGGAUUGCUUAAAGAUCAGUCGAAGCUGUUGCAGAUAGUAACCACAAACCAUGGCAUAAAGACCUAGGGAAAGCUACCUUAUCACUACAAAAUGAUUUGUGUGUUUGGUCUUUUGUGACUUUUCUGUUAAGGAUGCUCUGAUGUCAGCCUUCCUCCUCAAUCAACGGGCGUGGAUCCACUUUUCCUUUUGAAUGUGAACUCUGUUGAUGUUUGCUCUUUAGCUUGGUUGAGGAGAAAGGGCAGGGUGAUUUGGAAAUUGCGGUUCAAGGGGUAGAUCGCGGCGGGGUGUGUGUUGCUGCAUUAUGAGCCUGUGAACCUGGGUUGGGGUUCUGAUCGUGAUUGAUACGACUGAGCACUGACGGCCUCCCUCCAUGCUGAGCUCUUCCUCGCAACACAAGCCGUGACUGAGCCUGGUGCUGGCUGAGAGCCAGGAGGCCCACUGCUCUGCCCAGGGGGCCCAGAGCCACAUGGGAACUGCUGGCUCAUAUCAGGGAGACCUGUGAGUGCCCGCUGACAGCUUGCGACAACACGCAAAUGCUAACUUGGGUCUGAGCCUCCCGUGCAAGGCUGACAUCUAGAAGCUGAGAUGUCCGGCUCCUGAGAUGUCCCAGCAUUCCCUUGGAAAAGGCAUCCACCGCUGGAGGCUCUGCUGAAGUUCAAGGCCUUUGUCUUCCUUGCCGACAGCCAGCAGCAUCCAGACCCACCCGGCCGCACCUUGAAGGGGAGUGUUUUCCUGGACCAUUUGGAAGAGGUCCUCGUGGACGCCUGGUAUUUGGUUCACUACUGGCUCUCUGCAAUCGAGUUUCUGUCUUGUAUCUGUUUUGCCCAUCUUUUCCUAUGUUCUUUUUGCUAGUUUUUACUUAUUCUGCUUUAGUGUACAUUGUAAUAAACUGAUGGAUUCAGGA